rnacentral:rRNA from 1 species
AGAGUUUGAUCCUGGCUCAGGAUUAACGCUGGCGGCAUGCCUAAUACAUGCAAGUCGAACGAAAUUUCUUUUUUAAGAAAUUGAGUGGCGAACGGGUGAGUAAUGUAUGUUCAAUCUGCCUCAAAGUGGGGAAUAACUGUUGGAAACGACAGCUAAUACCCCAUAGGGUAAUACAAGGCAUCUUGUAUUGCUUAAAGGUGCAUUUUGCAUCGCUAUGAGAUGAGAACAUAUCACAUUAGCUUGUUGGUGGGGUAAUGGCCCACCAAGGCAAUGAUGUGUAGCCGGACUGAGAGGUUGAACGGCCACAAUGGGACUGAGACACGGCCCAUACUCCUACGGGAGGCAGCAGUAGGGAAUUUUUCACAAUGGACGAAAGUCUGAUGAAGCAAUGCCGCGUGAAGGAAGAAGGUUUUCGAAUCGUAAACUUCUGUUAUAAGGGAAGAAAAUCUAAAAUAGGAAAUGAUUUUAGCUUGACGGUACUUUAUUAGAAAGUCACGGCAAACUAUGUGCCAGCAGCCGCGGUAAUACAUAGGUGGCGAGCGUUAUCCGGAUUUAUUGGGCGUAAAGAGUGCACAGGUUGUUUAUUAAGUCAAUUGUUAAAUACCGAAGCUUAACUUCGGUCCGCAGUUGAAACUAGUAAACUAGAAUGCAGGUGGGGACAGUGGAAUUCCAUGUGUAGCGGUGGAAUGCAUAAAUAUAUGGAGGAACACCAGUGGCGAAGGCGGCUGUCUGAACUGUAAUUGACACUUAAGCACGAAAGCGUGGGGAGCAAAUAGGAUUAGAUACCCUAGUAGUCCACGCUGUAAACGAUCUAGACUAGUUGCUGCCAAAAAGGCAGUAACGCAGCUAACGCAUUAAGUCUAGCGCCUGGGUAGUAUGCACGCAAGUGUGAAACUCAAAGGAAUUGACGGGGACCCGCACAAGUGGUGGAGCAUGUGGUUUAAUUCGAUGAUACGCGAAGAACCUUACCUACGUUUGACAUACUUGGCAAAACUAUAGAGAUAUAGUGGAGGUUAACCAAUGUACAGGUGGUGCAUGGUUGUCGUCAGCUCGUGUCGUGAGAUGUUCGGUUAAGUCCGGUAACGAGCGCAACCCCUUUCUUAUGUUACUAACAAGUAAUGUUGAGGACUCAUGAGAUACUGCCUGGGUAACCAGGAGGAAGGUGGGGAUGACGUCAAAUCAUCAUGCCCCUUAUACGUAGGGCUACACACGUGCUACAAUGGCUGUUACAAAGGGCUGCCAAACCGUAAGGUGGAGCCAAUCUCAAAAAAACAGUCUCAGUUCGGAUUGAAGUCUGCAAUUUGACUUUAUGAAGCUGGAAUCACUAGUAAUCGCAGGUCAGCAAUACUGCGGUGAAUACGUUCUCGGGUCUUGUACACACCGCCCGUCAAACCACGAAAGUCGGUAAUGCCUGAAACCGCUGUUCUAACCUUUAAUGAAAUUCGUUUCUUUAGAGGAGGAAGGCGUCUAGGGUAGGAUUGGUGAUUGGGGUUAAGUCGUAACAAGGUAACCGUA